UGUGUCACACAGGAUUUGUUUUUCACAUCAUGCUCAUUAAGUUAAAUAAACACUACGAGGACUAAAACCACAGUGCUGGUUUCACAUGGAAAAAAACAUGGAACUAGGAGUACUCUAGUAAGCUCCCAGAGUAAUAAACCAACUAAGAACUGUUUGAUAAUAAAAACGUACAGUGGUCCUGACGGGCACCUCCGGCGACAGCCCCUGCAUCUUGAUUCUCCUUGCAACUUAGUUCCAUUGAACUAAUCAGGACUAAACUGGGCUAUGCUCACUGGAUGAGAACAUCAGCUGAGCGCUCUCACUUAAUGAGCAUGCUCCUG